UUUUAUUUUUUUUAAAUAAAUACAUCAAACCAAAGGAUUCUAUUUUUGGGUGAACAGAAUGGAUUGAGGGUAUAGAUUCUGUUAAUAAGUACUAUAAUAUUGUUAACAAGCUUAAGGAUUGUUCUUUUAAAAUUAUUGCUGUUUUCUUUUUCGGUCAGGUACAUGGUUUAGUUCAAGAUAGAAAUGGAAAAACGAUAGCAAUACUAUUUGGAAAAUGGGAUGAGAGCAUGCAUUAUGUGGAUGGAAAUUGUUAUGGGAAGGGAAAAGGAUUGGAGUCUUGACUUGAUGCCCAGUUGCUUUGGAAGCGGAGCAAGCCACCCCAGUUUCCUACAAGAUAUAACUUGCCACGCUUUGCCAUCACCAUGAAUGAACUCACCCUUGGAUUAAAGUUGCAGGAAAAGUUGUCCCCUAUAGAUUUAAGGCUCAGGCCUGAUCAAAGGUAUCUAGACAUUGAUUGCUACAACUUUUUAUCCCUUGCCACAGCUUGAGAGUUAGUUGGCUUUUAGGAAACCAGAAAUACUACUUGGGGAAACUAGAAAAGCAUAUGUGGAUGCAAAGAGGCUGGGGACUUUCUAGAAAGAGUUCUUAUGGAGAAUACUACUUCGGCUGACAUAUAAAGCAUAUGUUGAGGAUGAAAAGGAUGACAAAGCUGAGGCAGAAUCCACUAACAUUGAUGCUUUAGAUUGUGAAAGAAGAAACAAAGUAUUCUAAAGAAGCAGAUAAAGAGUCAUUCAUGGAUGUCUUAGCUACUUUAAUUGUGAAUGAAGAAUUUCGAGGAAUAGUAGCGUCAAAAACUGGAACUACCAAAAUAUUGAAUAAUGCUUCAAGGGUAGAAUCAAGAAUAUCAAGAUCGCUUGGUCUUAAUGAUGAAUCCGCACCCCAAGAUUCAAACAAUAGUUCAGAACGUCCCAAGGCAAACACUUAAAUUGACAGAGGUAACUGCAAGCAAUAAGCUGGAGAGUUUUCGUGCAGUAAAAAAGGUCCUCAAGGGUUAUAUUGCACUUGGGAAUGCUCAAUUUCCUAAUGGAACCAAUGGUAUUUUAUUUUAUUUUUUAAAUUAUGUAUUUCAUUUUAAGUGAAAUGUAUUGACUAUAUUCUUGUAAGAUUGUGUGAUAGGAAGGUACAUGUUCAUUUUCCUACAAGUAAUGCCCUAGACAUUCUUGCUUGAGUUCCACUAUAGAAAAAUGGUCUUGAUUAUCGGCAUGGUACAGGCCACGGAAUUGGGUUUUACCUUAAUGUUCAUGAA